GUGAGGAAUUUUCCGCAAUGGGCGAAAGCCUGACGGAGCAAUGCCGCGUGAAGGAUGAAGGCCUAUGGGUUGUAAACUUCUUUUCUCAGAAAAGAAUUAUGACGGUAUCUGAGGAAUAAGCAUCGGCUAACUCUGUGCCAGCAGCCGCGGUAAGACAGAGGAUGCAAGCGUUAUCCGGAAUGAUUGGGCGUAAAGCGUCUGUAGGUUGUUUAAAAAGUUUUCUGUCAAAGAUUAGGGCUUAACCCUAGAUAGGCAGAAUAAACUUUUAAGCUAGAGUUUGGUAGAGGCAGAGGGAAUUCCCGGUGGAGCGGUGAAAUGCGUAGAUAUCGGGAGGAACACCAAAGGCGAAGGCACUCUGCUGGGCCAAUACUAACACUGAGAGACGAAAGCGAGGGGAGCAAAUGGGAUUAGAUACCCUGGUAGUCC
rnacentral:rRNA from 1 species